rnacentral:rRNA from 7 species
AGGUGGUUAUAACGUUGGGGAUCCACCUCUUCCCAUUCCGAACAGAGAAGUUAAGCCCAACGGUGCCGAUGGUACUGCGUCACAGUGGGAGAGUAGGACGCCGCCGUUUU